GACUCCUCCCUUGGCUCUAAUCUGUCCUAUCCACCCCUUAGGACCCAGCAGGACAAAGGUGGAGCCUGGACUUGGGCAAGGUGACUAGCUCAGAAAUCAUGCCACCCGCCCCCCUCGAUGGAGCCUGGGAUAGAGUUGGCCUGGAGGCUUCCAAGGGGGAGAAAUGAAUGAGUGAAGAUUCUUCUUCUGGAGGGAAAGUGGAAUCUUCCUGCCACUAAGCCACACCAGAGCCAGCGAGUGGCAAAGUCAGGAUUCGUGCCUGGGUGUGUCUGACACUGGACACAACUGCUUAAGUGUAGAAACCAAGGUGCGGAGGGAGGGUGCUUAUCCGAGUCCCUCCAGCCAGUUGGUGGCUUUGCCCAGGCCCUUCUUCCACGGCCAGGCCACCUCUGAUCCCAAUGAGUCAGCAGCGAUGGCUCAGCCACUGGGCCUGCCCUGCCCUGCCCUCAGCCCCACCCCAAGCUGCCCACUCCUGACCCGCCUCUAGUUCAUGUCCUUUGGCGGCCGUGGCUUUUAGCACCCCCAGGGGAAGAGACCCAGACUGCCCAGCAAAUAAGCACCGCCCACAGAUUUCCAAAUAUACGGAGGUAAGUGUUCCCGCCCACCUCAGCUGGGCCUGGCUGGAACUCCAAGCAUCCCGCCUGGCCUCUGCGCCUCCUGGGGUCGGGUUCUGGGUCUCGAGUCCUCCUAAGAGCAGCCCGUGUCCUCUGCUGUGCGGAAACCUGCACCUGGGGGCGCCUUCAGCAUCAUCAACAACGGUAACGGCAGUUUUAGCUCACGGACACGUCGGCUUCCAUGCACUGUCGGCUGGUCACGUUUUGCGAAACGAUUGUGCCCAAAGUCUUCAAACUCAUCUUGACACCAGUGUCUUUGUCAUCAGACAGAGCCCUUUGUGGGUCCUCUGCCAGGCCUGCUGCUGUCGCCCCGUACCCCCCGGCCUCACGCUCUGGGGGGUGAAUCGGGCUGCAGAGCUGUGCACGGAUGUGAACUGCCUCCACAGAGUCACCGCUUACAGAGAGGAUUGCUUCUCCAAAGCUCUCGAUUGUGCAGAAUUUUGAAUAUAAAAUUAGGCAGUCUCCACCCCCCACCCCCCACCCCCAGCUUCAGCUCAGGGCUGAUUCGGCUUCAUCUACAUUCCCAUCCAUAUCCCUCACCUUUAAAAUUUUUUAAAUAUCCAUUUAUUUUUGAGAGAGAGAGAGAGAGAGACAGAGCAUGAGUGGGGGAGGGGCAGAGAGAGCGGGAGACACAGACUCUGAAACAGGCUCCAGCCUCUGAGCUGUCGGCACAGAGCCCGACACGGGGCUAGAACCCACGAACCGUGAGUUUGUGACCUGAGCCAAAGUCGGACGCUUAACGGACUGAGCCACCCAGGAGCCCCCAUAUCCCUCACCUUUGAAGCAAAUCCCAGAUAGUGCAUCAUUUCAUCCACAAUAGGCAAGAAUAAUCUAACAGCUGAGGUGAGGAGUUUUCCAUUAAUAUAAUUGUAAUAUAAUUUCCACCACCCCCC